UACGAGAGGCCCAAACGUUAUUCGGAAUUACUGGGCUUAAAGAGUUCGUAGGCGGCAUGAAAAGCAGGGUGUGAAAGCCCUCGGCUCAACCGAGGAAUUGCGCUCUAAACUGCAGUGCUUGAGGAACCUAGAGGUGAGCAGAACAGAUGGUGGAGCGGUGAAAUGCGUUGAUAUCAUCUGGAAUACCGGAGGCGAAGGCGGCUCACUGGGAGUUUUCUGACGCUGAGGAACGAAAGCCAGGGUAGCGAACGGG
rnacentral:rRNA from 1 species